rnacentral:rRNA from 1 species
GACGAACGCUGGCGGCGUGCCUAAUACAUGCAAGUCGAACGCACAGUUUAUACCGUAGCUUGCUACACCAUAGACUGUGAGUUGCGAACGGGUGAGUAACGCGUAGGUAACCUGCCUGGUAGCGGGGGAUAACUAUUGGAAACGAUAGCUAAUACCGCAUAAUAUUAAUUAUUGCAUGAUAAUUAAUUGAAAGGUGCACUUGCACCACUACCAGAUGGACCUGCGUUGUAUUAGCUAGUAGGAGAGGUAACGGCUCACCUAGGCGACGAUACAUAGCCGACCUGAGAGGGGGAUCGGCCACACUGGGACUGAGACACGGCCCAGACUCCUAAGGGAGGCAGCAGUAGGGAAUCUUCGGCAAUGGACGAAAGUCUGACCGAGCAACGCCGCGGGAGUGAAGAAGGGUUUCGGAUCGUAAAGCUCUGUUGUAAGAGAAGAACGGGUGUGAGAGUGGAAAGUUCACACUGUGACGGUAGCUUACCAGAAAGGGACGGCUAACUACGUG